rnacentral:misc_RNA from 1 species
GAUGAAGAACGCAGCGAAAUGCGAUAAGUAAUGUGAAUUGCAGAAUUCAGUGAAUCAUCGAAUCUUUGAACGCACAUUGCGCCCCUUGGUAUUCCGGGGGGCAUGCCUGUUCGAGCGUCAUUAUAACCCCUCAAGCUCAGCUUGGUGUUGGGGCCUGCCAACUGGCAGCCCUUAAAAUCAGUGGCGGCGCCAUCUGGCUCUAAGCGUAGUAAUUUCUCUCGCUAUAGGGUCCCGGUGGAUGCUGGCCAGCAACCCACAAUUUUCUAUGGUUGACCUCGGAUCAGGUAGGGAUACCCGCUGAACUUAAGCAUAUCAAUAAGCGGAGGA